CAGCGCCGCGGUAAUACGUAGGUGGCAAGCGUUGUCCGGAAUUAUUGGGCGUAAAGGGCUCGCAGGCGGUUUCUUAAGUCUGAUGUGAAAGCCCCCGGCUCAACCGGGGAGGGUCAUUGGAAACUGGGAAACUUGAGUGCAGAAGAGGAGAGUGGAAUUCCACGUGUAGCGGUGAAAUGCGUAGAGAUGUGGAGGAACACCAGUGGCGAAGGCGACUCUCUGGUCUGUAACUGACGCUGAGGGGCGAAAGCGUGGGGAGCGAACAGGAUUAGAGACCCGCGUAGUCCCUGUCUCUUAUACA
rnacentral:rRNA from 1 species